ACGGGAGGCAGCAGUGGGGAAUAUUGCACAAUGGGCGCAAGCCUGAUGCAGCCAUGCCGCGUGUAUGAAGAAGGCCUUCGGGUUGUAAAGUACUUUCAGCGAGGAGGAAGGCGUUAAGGUUAAUAACCUUAGCGAUUGACGUUACUCGCAGAAGAAGCACCGGCUAACUCCGUGCCAGCAGCCGCGGUAAUACGGAGGGUGCAAGCGUUAAUCGGAAUUACUGGGCGUAAAGCGCACGCAGGCGGUUUGUUAAGUCAGAUGUGAAAUCCCCGGGCUCAACCUGGGAACUGCAUUUGAAACUGGCAAGCUUGAGUCUUGUAGAGGGGGGUAGAAUUCCAGGUGUAGCGGUGAAAUGCGUAGAGAUCUGGAGGAAUACCGGUGGCGAAGGCGGCCCCCUGGACAAAGACUGACGCUCAGGUGCGAAAGCGUGGGGAGCAAACAGGAUUAGAUACACUAGUA
rnacentral:rRNA from 1 species